AUUGAACGCUGGCGGCAGGCCUAACACAUGCAAGUCGAGCGGAUGAAGGGAGCUUGCUCCUGGAUUCAGCGGCGGACGGGUGAGUAAUGCCUAGGAAUCUGCCUGGUAGUGGGGGAUAACGUCCGGAAACGGGCGCUAAUACCACAUACGUCCUGAGGGAGAAAGUGGGGGAUCUUCGGACCUCACGCUAUCAGAUGAGCCUAGGUCGGAUUAGCUAGUUGGUGGGGUAAAGGCCUACCAAGGCGACGAUCCGUAACUGGUCUGAGAGGAUGAUCAGUCACACUGGAACUGAGACACGGUCCAGACUCCUACGGGAGGCAGCAGUGGGGAAUAUUGGACAAUGGGCGAAAGCCUGAUCCAGCCAUGCCGCGUGUGUGAAGAAGGUCUUCGGAUUGUAAAGCACUUUAAGUUGGGAGGGAGGGCAGUAAGUUAAUACCUUGCUGUUUUGACGUUACCAACAGAAUAAGCACCGGCUAACUUCGUG
rnacentral:rRNA from 1 species